AUGGCACGGCAGCAGGGGCCGGCGGCGCGGCGUCGUGGCGGCGUCCUCUGGCCUCUGCGCUCCUGUUUAGCGGCAGGCCGUAGCAGGCGAGCAGCGUCGCCUUCUCCCGUUCUUCCGCACACCCCUACAGCAACACCCCGACAGUUUAAUCUGGAUUCUGAAGCAAUGAGUACCUGCAAAAUGGCAACGGUGGAAGCUACAUCUGUUCCAGACAGACUGAGCAGUCUACCUCCAGAGAUAAAGGGCAACAUCCUCUCCCGUUUGAAUAUCGUAGAAGCGGUUAGGACUUGCACCUUAUCAAGUACAUGGAGGGAUGCAUGGACUGAUAUGCCAAAAAUAUCUCUUCGCGAUGGGAAAUUUACAUGA
rnacentral:rRNA from 1 species